GCAGAUCGUUAUCGAUAAUCUUCCAAAAUAUUGCACUUAUUGUAAUCAUCAAGGUCAUGAUGUAAAAUCUUGUCGUUGGAAUACGGAAGAUCUUAAUGAAAAAGCAGUUCAUGUAACUGAAUCUGAAGGUCGGGGCAGAUUGGAUAAUUCUGGACGUGAUGCCAGGGAAUUUCUGAAUGAGCUUAGUGCAGGUCGACGAGC
rnacentral:lncRNA from 1 species